GAUGAACGCUGGCGGCGUGCCUAAUACAUGCAAGUCGAGCGAACAGACGAGGAGCUUGCUCCUCUGACGUUAGCGGCGGACGGGUGAGUAACACGUGGAUAACCUACCUAUAAGACUGGGAUAACUUCGGGAAACCGGAGCUAAUACCGGAUAACAUGUUGAACCGCAUGGUUCAACAGUGAAAGACGGUCUUGCUGUCACUUAUAGAUGGAUCCGCGCCGCAUUAGCUAGUUGGUAAGGUAACGGCUUACCAAGGCAACGAUGCGUAGCCGACCUGAGAGGGUGAUCGGCCACACUGGUACUGAGACACGGUCCAGACUCCUACGGGAGGCAGCAGUAGGGAAUCUUCCGCAAUGGGCGAAAGCCUGACGGAGCAACGCCGCGUGAGUGAAGAAGGUCUUCGGAUCGUAAAACUCUGUUAUUAGGGAAGAACAAAUGUGUAAGUAACUAUGCACGUCUUGACGGUACCUAAUCAGAAAGCCACGGCUAACUACGUG
rnacentral:rRNA from 1 species